AACAACUGAAAGAGAAAAACACAUACAAGAAAUGGGCACUUAUAAUUGGAAUUCCAAUCUUUGUCGCUGUGGCUCUGCCCUUGAUUUUUAAUUGGUUACAAAUGCUGAUCUUACUUUGGACCCCAAAACAGCUCGUGCAAGACUAGAAAUAUCUGAAGAUGAGAAGAGUGUGAAGGGACACUGGAUUUUUUUCUGAAGUUUCUAAGAAUGAAGAGAUUUGAUUUCUGUCCAUUUAUCUUGGCAAAACAAGGAUUUCUGAAGGCAAAUAUUACUGGGAAACUCCCAGAAAAAUACAUGGCAUUUAGGUGUUGCGUCUGAAUCUGCUCCUAGCUACUGGCUCAUAGGGUGUGAUGGUGGGAAAAAGUACUUGACUUGGACAGACCCCUGUACCCAAAUGAACAUGUCCCCCAAAUCUAUAAUAAUAGGGAUAUCCCUGAAUAUAGAAAGCAGAGAGAUUUCUUUUUAUGAUUCUCAGAGGAAACAUAAAUUGUUUACGUUUCUUAAUGUUGGUUCGGAGACAUUUUAUCCUGUUUUUGCAACAAACCAUUUAAUAACAGAGUUCGAUGAUCAGAUGUUGAGAAUCCUGCCAUUGGGGAUAGUGGAAUAAAUGAAACAAGCCAAAAAUAAUUAGGGCAGAUUUUAAUUUGGAUAAGCUUCUUAUUAUACAUUUUACAGAAUCAUAUACUGGAACCAAUGAUCAAAC